GUUCGCGGCCAUUCUCGUCCCGCUCCUAACAACCAAAGGCGCGGGAUGCGCCAAGGAAAAUCGAAACGAAUCUGACUCCUGCCUCGGUGCAUUGCAUCGUGUCGGCGAGUGUAUUCGAUAAGUCAUAACGACUCUCGGCAACGGAUAUCUCGGCUCUCGCAUCGAUGAAGAACGUAGCAAAAUGCGAUACGUGGUGUGAAUUGCAGGAUCCCGUGAACCAUCGAGUUUUUGAACGCAAGUUGCGCCCGAAGCCUUUAGGCCGAGGGCACGUCUGCCUGGGCGUCACGCACCGUUGCCCCCCAAACCCCCUCAGUCCUCCACGGAGGAUUGGCGAGGCGCGUGGGGGGCGUAAAGUGGCUUCCCGUCGGCUUUGUCCCGCGGUUGGCCUAAAAAUGAAUCCCUAGCCGCGGUGCGCGCGGCAUUCGGUGGUCAUCGAUCCCUUUCGUUACCCCGCCGCGCGCUCACGUGCCGCGAAGGAUGUCACACUAGUAAACCCGACGCCUCGCUUUGUGAAGAGCGGAGCUUACAACGCGACCCCAGGUCAGGCGGGAUUACCCGCUGAG
rnacentral:rRNA from 1 species